GAUGAACGCUGGCGGCGUGCCUAAUACAUGCAAGUCGAGCGAACGGACGAUAAGCUUGCUUCUCUGAUGUUAGCGGCGGACGGGUGAGUAACACGUGGAUAACCUACCUAUAAGACUGGGAUAACUUCGGGAAACCGGAGCUAAUACCGGAUAAUAUUUUGAACCGCAUGGUUCAAAAGUGAAAGACGGUCUUGCUGUCACUUAUAGAUGGAUCCGCGCUGCAUUAGCUAGUUGGUAAGGUAACGGCUUACCAAGGCAACGAUGCAUAGCCGACCUGAGAGGGUGAUCGGCCACACUGGAACUGAGACACGGUCCAGACUACUACGGGAGGCAGCAGUAGGGAAUCUUACGCAAUGGGCGAAAGCCUGACGGAGCAGCGCCGCGUGAGUGAUGAAGGUCUUCGGAUCGUAAAACUCUGUUAUUAGGGAAGAACAUAUGUGUAAGUAACUGUGCACAUCUUGACGGUACCUAAUCAGAAAGCCACGGCUAACUACGUG
rnacentral:rRNA from 1 species